AAUAUUGGACAAUGGGCGCAAGCCUGAAUCCAGCCAUGCCGCGUGGGUGAUGAAGGCCCUAGGGUUGUAAAGCCCUUUCGGCGGGGAAGAUAAUGACGGUACCCGCAGAAGAAGCCCCGGCUAACUUCGUGCCAGCAGCCGCGGUAAUACGAAGGGGGCUAGCGUUGCUCGGAAUGAGUGGGCGUAAAGCGCACGUAGGCGGCUUUUUAAGUCAGGGGUGAAAUCCUGGAGCUCAACUCCAGAACUGCCUUUGAUACUGAGAAGCUUGAGUCCGGGAGAGGUGAGUGGAACUGCGAGUGUAGAGGUGAAAUUCGUAGAUAUUCGCAAGAACACCAGUGGCGAAGGCGGCUCACUGGCCCGGUACUGACGCUGAGGUGCGAAAGCGUGGGGAGCAAACAGGAUUAGAUACCCUGGUAGUCCACGCCGUAAACGAUGGAUGCUAGCCGUUGUCGGGUUUACCCGUCAGUGGCGCAGCUAACGCAUUAAGCAUCCCGCCUGGG
rnacentral:rRNA from 1 species